rnacentral:rRNA from 1 species
CGUGUAGGCAGUUCGUUAAGUCGGGUGUGAAAGCCCGGGGCUCAGCUCCGGAAGUGCGCCCGAAACUGGCGAGCUGGAGCGCGGUAGAGGAGGGUGGAAUUCCUGGUGUAGCGGUGAAAUGCGUAGAUAUCAGGAGGAACACCGGCGGCGAAGGCGGCCCUCUGGACCGUUGCUGACGCUGAGACGCGAAAGCGUGGGGAGCAAACAGGAUUAGAUACCCUGGUAGUCCACGCUGUAAACUAUGGGUACUAGGUGUUCGGGGUGUUGACCCCCUGAGUGCCGACGCUAACGCAUUAAGUACCCCGCCUGGGACUACGGCCGCAAGGUUAAA